UAGGGAAUCUUCGGCAAUGGACGGAAGUCUGACCGAGCAACGCCGCGUGAGUGAAGAAGGUUUUCGGAUCGUAAAGCUCUGUUGUUAGAGAAGAACGUUGGUAGGAGUGGAAAAUCUACCAAGUGACGGUAACUAACCAGAAAGGGACGGCUAACUACGUGCCAGCAGCCGCGGUAAUACGUAGGUCCCGAGCGUUGUCCGGAUUUAUUGGGCGUAAAGCGAGCGCAGGCGGUUCUUUAAGUCUGAAGUUAAAGGCAGUGGCUUAACCAUUGUACGCUUUGGAAACGGGAGGACUUGAGUGCAGAAGGGGAGAGUGGAAUUCCAGGUGGAGCGGUGAAAUGCGUAGAUAUAUGGAGGAACACCGGUGGCGAAAGCGGCUCUCUGGUCUGUAACUGACGCUGAGGCUCGAAAGCGUGGGGAGCAAACAGG
rnacentral:rRNA from 1 species